CCUCAACCUUUCCUUGCACCUGGUUGUAGGGAGUGCACAGAGAUGGCAUGAGCAUGCACCCAUCCCAUAAGCAGAGAUAAAGCCAGGGAGAUCUCUGCUUAUCGUGGUCCUGACAGAGAUUGGAGGUGCCUUUAGUGUUUUGUGCUCGUCCCCUACAAAGUGCAGGCAAUGAUAAUCUUACCCUGCUGUGGUGAUACUGCACGGAUGUCUCGGCACUGCUCUCAGUAUGGCUCACCAGGCUUCUCUGAGCAAAUUGUGCUGUUACCUGAGGGGUGAUUUGGGGAAGAGGAAAGUUUUUACAUUGUUUUGGGGAGCUGGGCCAUACCAGGCUGUUCUGGUGUAAUCACAGUGUUCAGCCUGAGCAGAUACCCUGGAAAUGGUCCUGGGCUGGAUGGAGCUGGGCAGCAGCUGUGUGUGCCUCUUGUAUUUUACAGAGCUAUGAGGAUUUAUAGAAGAACUCCUCUAAUUAUUGCUAAUGCACUUUGAUUUCAUGAAGUCAUGACCUGGAAACCUUCUGCUCCUCUCUCACCUCCAUUAACUCAUCUGACCUACAAAAUGUCUAAUGUGGUUUAUCUGCCAAAUGUGCAAGCUGACAGCGAGCUCAGAAAGGGCAGAUACACCUUUCCUCAGCUGUGAAACACCCUGGGGGAGGGGGAUGACUUUGUUCUGUUUGAGCAGCCACCUCCAACUCAUGGUCCUUUCACUCUCUUACCUCUGCAUGCCCUGCAGCACCCUGGCAGCUGCUAAAGCCUGUCCAAGUCAGACAACACCGAGCUGUCUGCAAGACAGAGCACCUCUGUGCAGCCUGGAACCCUGA
rnacentral:lncRNA from 1 species